GUGUAUGUUUUUUUAAAAAAACAGAGGAAAAGCAGUAUGGGGAUUGCAUAUGCACUUCUCAUGUUUUACAGGUGUGCAGACCUCUGCAGUCUCUCUGGGUGAAGCUCCCACAGGCUCUGCUAGGCAUGAUGCUUCCUAAUCAGGAUUUCUGGGACAAGGUUAUUAGCAUUCAGAUGAGGGUGGCUGGUUUCGCCUUACUCUAUAUGGGCAGACACAUUAAAAUAAGGGCAUGCAGGAAAGCAGCCUGGGCAAUGAUCCAAAGGUAGAGGCAGUCUUCUACACUUUCCUUCACACAGAGGGAGGGCCCAAGGACUACUCUGUUUUGCCAUGUCUGGCUGUAAGCACUUGACGUCACGAAGUGCCAACCCUCAAUUUUCUGUUUUGUAUAGCAAUUUAGUCACUUUAGUCACUUUUAUUUUGUGAUCUGCCUUUGAGCAUGCUAUUGGAAAAGUGGGAUACAAAUUUAACAAGCAUAGAUAGAUAGAUAGAUAGAUAGAUAGAUAGAUAGAUAUAGAUAGAUGUUGUAACACACCUUGGGAUCUUACAGUGAAGGGAGGGCCCACAGUACAAUACAAUACAAUUAUAAUUAAUAAUAUUUGGUCAAACAUGAGGUUCUGAUACUCGUAUCUUGAUAAAAGCACCAUAGGUGCCUGCACAAAGUGAUAUUUUUCAAAACAUACAUAGGAUUCUCUACUCUAUAGCACCACACAAAGAGAAAACUGGAUUCUUUAAAAUCUACCUCUUCAGUUUGAUUUUAAUGAAGGGUCUUAGAUGCAAGGUUUCCUGGAUUUGUUUUGUGAAUUGUUUGUAUGCUGCCUUAUUGCUUGAGUGCCUUAUGCUUUCUUUUAUUUUCUGUUGUAUUUAAGUUGGUUUUCUUGGAGAUUGUAAGUCACUUGUGGAGGAAGUUCCACAAAAAAGCGGAGUAUAAAUCUUUAAAUUUUAAAAAACCCACCAAAUAAAUAAAAUAGUAGACAUCUUCAUUGGAAGAGCUGAGUCUAUUGUGCCAAAUACAUGGAAAUGUUUUUUUAUAAAAAUAAAAAUCCUGCAGGUUUCCUUUCAUUGAACUGGAGCUUAACUAGUCUGCAUGGAUUUUGGAUCCAUGGCAGGGAGACAGCAAUGGAAUUUGAAACAACCACCUGCUGGAGCAUGGUGACACACGGCAUACAUGGCCGUCCUGUGUCCCUGAGCUGGGGCUGCAGGAGUUCUCUUAGGACUCUGCCCAGGGCAUACCGAACACAGUGCAGGAGUCCAAAGCCAGCACCUCCUACCCUGUGUUCAAGGUUCAUGCCAGGUUGUCAACAGAGAGCUGCCAGUUCCUCGCUGCCUCCUCAGAAGGACAAGCCUCCUUGGAAGCUCAAAGAAAGGAGAAUCAUGAUUCCCUGCGAUUUCUGCCUAGGGAAACCUCACUCAGCGGAGAAGAAGUGUCUGACCUGUGAGGCGUCCCUGUGCCGGGACCACCUGAGGAAACACAAUUCAAAGGCCACCCAGAAGAACCAUGCCUUGGUGGCUCUUGGGACCGCUGGGGCCCAGGAGGAGAAGAAAUGCCCAGAGCAUGCCAUGCUGCUGGAAUGCUUCUGUCAAGACGACUUGGCAUGUGUUUGCAAGGCCUGCUCCACCACUGGCUCCCACAGCAGCCACAGCGUCGUCGCCCUGAAGGACGAGUACGACAGGCAGAUGGCAAUUCUCUCACGGAUUAUGAAAUCAAUGCAGGAAUACAAAACUGCCACAAAGAAGACACUCCUACAGCUUCAGAAAAGUGAGGAUCAGAUAAAGAACAAUAAGAAAACAUUGACAGAUCAGCUCUCCAGGAUCUUCCAAGAGAUCAAAUCUCAGGUAGAUCAGAAGGAGAAGCAGAUCCUAGGUGACAUCCAGUCCAAUGAGAAAAAGCAGCUGGCUGACAUGGCGGCUCUGAAGAAGCAAGUGGCAGACAAGAGGGACAUGGCUGCCCAGGGCCUUCGGGAGCUACAAGCACUAACAGAGAAAACAGAUGCUUGCCUCUUCCUCAAGGAUUUUCAGCUAGCCCAAGAGAGGAUUAAGAAACAGAAUUUCAGCAAUGACAGUGUGGAAGUGCUGACAGUGCAUCUGGAUCAGUCAGACAUUCAGGAUGUCAGAAGUCACACAGCCAUGUAUAUCUCCAACCUAGACACCUUGAUGCAAGUAGUACAUGGACAAUCCCAGCUGCUGAGUUCUCUCUUGAUGAUGUGAUUUGCAAAGUCUUCCCAUCACCACCACCACCACCACCACUCACUAGGGAUAUAUCUGGAGAAAACCCAGGUCCAGACGUUCAGAAAUGAUGAAACUAAUAAGAAACAAGAUCUCACCCAGGUUCACUGGCUAUAGAAACAGGAAGAUACAAAACAGGAGGAAUGCUUUGGAGCUGUCUGGUGGAACUGAGUUGCAAAAGAAACCUAGUGGGAUUUGAUGAUGUCUCAGUUCAGAAAAAGCACUCUAUAGGUGCUCAUUUAGGUAGAGGAGGCACACUCUACCUGCUGGCUUUAGUGUUUGAAGGGGGGGGCGGGAUCUGAAUGACUUGGAAAAUGCCUGGACUACUUUUGCUUCCCAUUCCCUGUAUUUUGAUAUGUGUAAUAAUAAUGGAACUACAAAAUGUUGAACAAAACAUAUAAGCAGCCAAUCAAAAUCCUUUGUGCCGUCCUGUCAAAACAUUUUCUUUGAAGGGCUCCAAACUCUGUUAUCAUGUGCUGUACAACUCCCCUUAGAUUCUGUUUUGCCGCCCUCUUGGUAAGCAAUUGUUUGUAUUGAGUAUAGUUGUGUUAAUUUGUUUGACAGCAUGAAAAGCUAAAAGUGCUGGGUGAUUCUUUUUGCUUUUAUUGUUCGCUUGAAGCAAAUCAAAUGGAAUCCAUUGCCUUGCAAACAUAACUCCUGCAUAAUUAAGCCAAUCUCUGGUGAUGGAAAUAAAGCUUGGGUGGUGAUUAGCAUACCAUUAAGUCCUUUGAAGGAGAAGAUGUGUAUUGCUGAUCUGCUGGGUUCACAUUUAGCUCUCUGCAGUUUAAAAUAUGCUCUGUUGACUUCUGAUGUGCUUUUUCUGCAUUGGCUUCCCAUUCCCAUCCAAACAGAACCCCUCCCAGAUCACUGGAUAUGCAGAUCUGCCACUCUCCUCCAUUCAGAAGUAAAAGGGGGCACCUUCUGGGAAUGGAAACUCUGGAAGAUCUUAGGAAUUUCUGUGUCCACAGCAAGUCACUGUGCCGGGGGUUUCAAAACAGGGUUCUUGGGGACAGAACGGUUUGGUGUCCCCUGAAGACCUCCCAAUAUGAAACACUUUCUAAGCAUAUGGUUGAUGGUCCUUGUCUGUCAGUUUUUAAAAAAUGUUCCAUUAAAAUUGACUGAUAUGGCCAUUUCAAUUUAGAGGGCUGGUUAGACUGUGAUUGCAAAAGUGCCCUAAUGAAAACAAGUGCUGAAAGUAUGUACAUGGUGAACAAUCUGUGAAUAAAAGCCCCAGUGAACAAA